CCUACAACAGUGGCCGUAACCGUCGCCAGUAUUAGCUCUUUUUUUUGUUUUGUUUUACAUUUCACUCGCAAUAUGUAUAAUUGAAAAUAAAUAUUAUUCGACACUAACAAUCCAGAUGGUUUUACGUGCCAAAACACAAUGAACGAAUAAAGGCUCGCCUGUCAUCCCCUUUAGCUAGCAAAUUGGACGUUCACGUGCAUUAUAAUGAUACGAUACUAUGUGUACAUAUAUAUUAUAUGUACACGAAUAAAAAAGAUUAAAUAUCAUAAUUGAGAAUCGUCGAAAUCCCUCGAGGAUUACCGUUAUGUGUUAUAUUUUACCGAUUUUGCUAUACACGCUCAAAAUUGUAAAACGAUCCUGCAGACGUAUUAUUUUAUUAUAUUACGACGAUUGACGAUUGACAAUGUAUUCGUGGGAUUUUUCGGUUGUUUAAAAUCGUAGUUCAUCGGAUUGUAAUAACUGUAAUGUUAUAAUCUAUUAUCUCAUCUGUACCAUUAUAAUACAUUGUCCGAGGCAAGGACGUAGUCAGAGGGGUCUGGACCCCCCUCCGAAAUUUAAGCUUCUCACCAAAAAAUCAGAUUAGUGAUAGUUAUUGGUAAAUUUCGUGUUUGAACACCCCCCCCCCAAAAAAAAAAAAAAAAUCCCGGCUACGUGUCUGGUCUGAGGUGGACGCUAACAAGAACCGACGGGAAGUUAGUAGAUACGAUUAAAAAUUCGCCGGCUUUUUUUUUUGUUUUUUUUUUUUAUACCAGCUAUUUUGCUAGUCGGCAAAUCAUGUAAUAAAUAAUACUUUUUAUUACGGUAGUUUUGCCGGCUUAAAAUUAAUAAUAAAUUUUAAAAUUUAAAUUUUCGUUAAAUUUUCGAAUCGGUGGUUCUAAAAUUCAGACCGGUACCGAAUCAUUUACAUUCCGAAUAAUUUCUACGCUAUCCAUUGUAGCCACCCCCGACUGUUAUAUCGUUUUCUUGUAAACGACCGUAAAUUCUAAUAAGUAAAAGUAUACCGCUGCGGUCGGACGUUUGGUGGUUCGGUGUCGUUGGAAAAAAAUAAAUGACGAUCAACCGAAUUUGGAUGGGCGAGAGCGCACCGAAAAAAUAUUAUAAUACGUAUUACUUAUGGAUGUCUUGUAAAGCCGUUCGUUUAAUUAUUAUUAUGAUUAUUUAAAGUACUUGUAAUAUAUUAUUAUGUCUGCCUGUCUCUGUUUAAAAAUUAGAUUUGUGAUACAUUUUUUAUUUAUUUAUUUCUUUUUGCAACAAGCUCUGAAUAAUGUUUAAAAUAUUAUUAUUCACCGUGAAAAUGUUUAAUUUAACGUAUCGUAUAAAUUUUUUAUUUAUUUAUUUUUUUAUUUUUUCUGCAACAAGCUCUGAAUAAUGUUUAAAAUAUUAUUAUUCACCGUGAAAGUGUGUAAUUUAACGUAUCGUGACUCGCAUGGUCUUACGAACUUAAAAAAAAUAUCAAAACCCUAAGGGGCGUACUAUAAUGGCCAAUAAUGAUCGCAUUUAUACUAUUAUACGCAUUGCGCCCCGGUCAAAUAAAAAAAAAAAAAAAUAAAUAACAUUAGAUUUCAAGCCAAUGGAUACAGUGCAAUGUAGUGAGUAGGAACCGACGACGCACCGUCCAAAUUUGUUGGAAAACCGAAAUAAAAUGUCGAUGCGCCAAUAGCUAUUUACCUACAGCAAAUGACUAUAAUAAUCCCUAGAAUAUAAUAUACUAAUAAAACCGCUAACUAAAAAUGAAAAUAAAAAAUGUGACAAUUCACUAACCUUAUGUGUAUUGGAUACGGGCUUCGACGAUUUUCGCUGACCGCCGGUGCUGGUCAACUUGACGGAAGAGUAGUGUCGCGACGGUGUAUUACGUGACGUAAUAGGUCAUAAUUUUAUUCUAUUAUAGUUUUCUAUGUUGACGCUUUUGCUGUAAAAAUAAAUAAAAUAAAAAACGCCGAUUGCGACCCCAGGGGGAAAACAGAAAAACACUAUAGGCACGCGACUAAUUUGAAAUCCAGGCGUUCUGAAAUAGUGCGAUGAAUGAGAUCAUGUGAAACUACUGAAUUUACGUAAAAAAAUAUUGGUAAAUUAUCUCACGUUCGACUACGGUUUCCAUCUAAUGCGGAUCGCCAUAGAGUAUCUGUUACGCGUCGUAUACUCUAUGGUUUAUCAUGGAAAAAUAGAUGGAUAUUUGUACUCAUCUUCCAAGCCGAAUAUAGACCAACAAAAAUUUCCAUAAAAAUGGAUGGGAAUGAAACUUGUGACAUUACGUUACUUGUCCAGAACAACCCCGCGCUGUUGUAAUUAUUAUUAAAGCUACGUACCUAUAGGUAGGCAGGUAUACGUAUUGUUUUUAUUCUUUAUGAAUUGAUUGCCGAUUACAUGUUUUAGAAGAACGUUGCAACGUUGGUUUUAUUUUUCGAUAAACAUAGGUCAGUACCACAAAUAAUAAUAUUAAAAAAGUUAUUAUUUUUAUACAGUAUUUUUAAGAUUUUAAAAGUCAAACCACUCAUUUCGAAGCGAGGGCAUAUCGACAAAUCAACGCCAGUGCAAGUUCUCUUUUUUUUUUUUUCGAUUGCAAAAAUUUGAUUUUUCAAUUAAGUUUAUAGCAGCUAUACAUAGCCAACCCCUUAAAUACUAUAGAGGCAGCACACUAGAGCACGUUCUAAAAACACAUUACAUCCUUUUUGUCUGCGAAUUAUUUUCUUGCCAAAAAACAUACACCGCCAUUGGUACUGCCAUUGAUUUUUUUUUUUUUUAUUAACUUUUUGAUUUAUAAGUACGAUGUAUUUUUAUACGGUCACGCAGCUGAUAAUAUGUCAUCCCGGACUAUUCAAAACCAUGUUCCUAUAUAAAUAUCGAAUUCGUAGCCGGGCGUAUUAUAUGCAUGCCUACUGUUAUAAUAUAUACAUAAUAUUUUAAAUAUUGUCUCGUUUCGAGAUUUUCCGCCGGAAAAUAUAAUAUGUAAAUAUGUAAUUAUUGUUUACCGAGAUUAAUUAUUAAUUUUAUACAUUCAUUUGAGGGGUAAUAUUUUGCAGCAGAAGCAGCAUCGAUAUUAUUAUAACAAAAACCGUUAAACCGUUGAUCUAUAUAAUAAAUAAAUAAUCAAUUAAUUACAAUAUAUUUCGAUUCGUAAUUUUCAACCGUGUAAAUUUAUUACGAUACGGGGUUGAUAUAAUCGAACGAUAUUAGGAUACUUUUUUGCGCAAUCUAAAAAACCCGAAAAAAUACCAUACCCCGAUAAUAUAUUUUUAUAAAUUAAUUGUUUAAAAUCGAUUCAUACUAAAUAAGAAAAAAAAAAAUCCCCCCAAGGCGGGCAUUGCUCCUUAUGGUUUUUACAGGCGAAAAUCACCGCCUUAUUUCGAUAGUUUACGCCUACGGAUUCGAAAGUGUACAUUUUGAAAUAAAUAUUCUCAGUUACACAAUAUAAUUUUAUGCUCCGUCGGCACGCGUAUUAAAAUAUAAAUGCACAAACGUAGGUGUUUUUUUGUCUAGUUUUCGUAAAAUAUACAAACACCAUUUUUUUGCAUCAUCAGUUAAAUGUCGUACCAUUUAAUCCGUUGUUUUUUGAUCAAAUUAUUUACGGUAAAAAAAAAAAAAAAAAUGAUUUUGAAAUCGAAAUUCGAUCGCUUUGACCCUGUGGCUCGCAGUAGCUAUAAUAUUACUAUUAUUGCAUGUGAUGUAUUUUACAAAACGAUUUUCUAUUAUCGAAUAAAUUAUUUAAGACGACCCCCUAGAUACUUUUUUAUUAUAAUUAUUUAUAAUGCACUUUAUCAUAAGUACCUAUUUAUAAAUAUAUGCUAUUCUGAUUUAGUAAUAAGUACCACCGGAUGAAAAAUCCGCAUUUUUUAAAAUACGGUGCGAAACAACUGAGUUAAUUUUGCUAAUCCAAAAAGUAUUAUCUGCAGACCAAAAAAAUAAAAAUAAAUAAUAAACAUCUUGAUAAAACUAAUACUUUAUUUGCUACAUUCAUAAUCUAAAACAUAAAUCUGUUUGUGGUGAGGGGGUGGGAAGUCCCACACAACUUAUGCUUAACAAAUUGUUCAAAAUAAUUAUAACUAAUUAUAGAACAAAAUAAUUAUGAUAACAGCACCGUUGGGUACAACAAAAAAGAAAAAUUAUUUUUAUUUUUUUUUUCCAAUGCUCAUUAAUACACGACUACCUAUAUUUUAUAAAAGUGUGAAGAUAAUCAAAAAAAAAAAAAAAAAAAAACCCUGACGGAAUUAUAAUGAAUAAUUUUAUUAAUUUAAUACGUUUUAUUGUAUAUUGUAUAAUAAUAAUAAAUUUAUAUUAACAAUAGAUUAGUGAGAAAAAAAAACGCGCUGUUUCAACAGAACAAUCAAAACAAUCAUAGAUACUUAUAAUUAAGAGGACGCCACACCCGCAGCAUAUUCUACUGUCUCUGGUCUUACAAACGUAUACACGACGUAGGUAGGCAAUUUGCACGGACACAUUUCGCGCUACAAGCCGGAAAUUAUGGACGGCGGGUUAUAAAAUGACGGCGAUUUAAAAUUUAUCAUUUAUUCGUAAUAAGGAAAACAAUAUAGUAUUGGUGUACUUUAAGGAGAGAGUAAUACAACUAAAAAGAAAAAAAGAGAUCCGAAACUAUAUUUCGUGCUAAUCUACUAAUUUUUGUACUGAAUUUGUUGACGUUGUAAUAUACAAUGCUAGAGAUUCGGAGGCCGAGGUGUUAGUCAAAUUUUGGGACCCGCUUCUCUCUUGAAGAAAUUUAUCCAAUCAAUAAUUAUAAAAAAAAAAAAAAAAACAAAACACAACGGCUUACAUAAAUGUAUUUACUCGUUCGAUAUUAGGUACUUGUAUAAUUAUUCGAAUACCUGAAAUAAUUAUGGAAUAAAAGUAGUUCAAUAAAAUUAUUACCUAGACAUUAUAAACAUAUAAAUUUGAUCAUUCGUUUACCGUUUAUGUAAGACGCGAGACAGUAGAUCCUUAAUAAUAAGUUUUACAAUAAUUUUAGGUAUACGUAAUACGUUUCGCACAUUUUGUAAAUCACGUCAACGCUCAUAAUUUAUUACCUGCACCGGGUAGUAUAGGUAUAAAUCAUUAUUAUAAUAUUAUAGGUAUACGUUUUCCAUUUUUCGAAAUCUAUUAGGACUUCGCGUUCACAACUCAUAGGCAAUCAUUAUUGAGACUAUUUAUAACUUACUAUAUAUUAUUAUAUUUUAUUUUCGAGUGCACGUGUUUUUUUUUAAACAAUUUUCUUUUUUAUAUAGGACACCUAAUGUAAUUGCACAAAAGAUAUCACAAUAAUAUUACUCAAAUCGUAUAGGUACGUGAAUGUACGCCUAUACAUUAUUACAAUCGCAUCACGGUUGGAAAAAAAUAUUAUUGCGUACGCGAAACACCGCCGCGUGUGUUCCGUGUUUUUGUUGUAUUUUUUUUUGAUAAAAAUUGUAUUCGUGUAAACGUUAAUUUUAAAUAGAUUAAGUAGAUAAGUAAACACAAAAAUGAAUAAAUAAAUAAAUUGACGUCAUUUUUAACGUCGACAUUAUUAAUAUUCUAAUUGUUUAUUUAUGCGUUUUGCGCGCGCGUUUAUAUAUAACGGAUUUAUAAGUAAAAAAAAAAAAAUUUAAGAUGUUAUUUUUCUGAAAAAACAAAAAAAAGCAGCUUUUUAUAAUAAUAAAUAUCGAAAGUUUUUGUACACGUUGUUUUAUUAGAUAAUUAUUGUUUACUACGGAAAAUAGACGAUUUGAUGUGUUGUAUUCGUUAAAUGUGUUUGUUAGAGAAUAUGUAUUAUAUUAUAUUACAAUAAUAAUAUACUACCGAUGAC